UACGGAGGGUGCAAGCGUUAUCCGGAUUCACUGGGUUUAAAGGGUGCGUAGGCGGGCAGGUAAGUCCGUGGUGAAAUCCCCGAGCUUAACUCGGGAACUGCCAUGGAUACUAUUUGUCUUGAAUAUUGUGGAGGUAAGCGGAAUAUGUCAUGUAGCGGUGAAAUGCUUAGAUAUGACAUAGAACACCAAUUGCGAAGGCAGCUUGCUACACAGUUAUUGACGCUGAGGCACGAAAGCGUGGGGGAUCAAACAGG
rnacentral:rRNA from 1 species